AGCCUUGGUCCGGGCCGCGGGGAGCGGGCGGGUGGAGGCUGGGCCGCGGAGGCCGGAGGGGAGGAGCCCGGGCCGCCGCCGCCGCCGCCGCCUUGCAGGAGGGGAGCAUGUCUGCGAGUCGAGCCAAGAAAGUGAAGAUGGCCACCAAGUCGUGCCCCGAGUGCGACCAGCAGGUUCCUGUUGCAUGUAAAUCUUGUCCCUGUGGUUACGUAUUUAUUAAUAGGAAACUUCUAAAAGUAAAACACUCAGAGAAAUCAUCACCUUUUACAGAAGUGAACAGUGCCCCGUCUUUGAAAGAUUUGCGAAUACUAUUUUUAUAUGAAUUUAAACUAGGACAUAGUGCAGCCACAGCAAGUAGAAACAUCAAUUCUGUCUUUGGAAAAGGCUCUGUUAGUGAGAGGACUAUCCGGUGGUGGUUUGAAAAAUUUCGUUCUGGGGAUUUGAGUCUGAAAAAUGAGCCUCGAGGAAGACCCAAAUCUGUUUUAAAUGAAGAUCAACUGAGAGCCAUGGUGGAAGCUAACCCCAAAACAGCAAUUCGAGGCCUUGCGGCAGACUUAGGAGUUUCUGCUACAACAAUUUCUCGACACCUGGCUGCAAUAGGAAAGGUGAAAAAGUUGGACAAGUGGGUAGGUAACACCAACUGACGGAUGAUCAUAAACGGAGAUGAUUACAGGUGUGCUCUUACCUUUGGAUUUGAAAGAGCAGAGACCUAUUUCUAUUUUGGAGAAAUCUUAAACUUUGACAAAAAAAAUAAUAGUGGUCUGGACAAUGAUUGGAUGUUGAUGUAGUUUCCAAACGUGUUAAAACCAUCACUGCAGGGAUCCCUGGGUGGCGCAGCGGUUUGGCGCCUGCCUUUGGCCCAGGGCGCGAUCCUGGAGACCCGGGAUCGAAUCCCACGUCGGGCUCCCGGUGCAUGGAGCCUGCUUCUCCCUCUGCCUGUGUCUCUGCCUCUCUCUCUCUCUCUCUCUCUCUGUGACUAUCAUAAAUAAAAUAAAAUAAAAAAAAAAAAAAAAA